AAAUGAGUCACAGCUGCAAGCUAAGGGAUUGAAACCUCAACCAAUCAUAUAGGGAGUUUAAGCUCUAGCUGCAGCCUGAUGUUUUUAACCAAUCAGGCCCGUCAACCCACAAGCGGAUUGAAAAUAAGCUAGUUAUGUAGGACAGAAAAAGGAAAAGACGAGGGGUCAUAAGGGGACAUAAGCAUAAGACAGAAGCAAAAAAACGGCAGCCCUUCCAGGUCCCCUUCCACCACGUGGAAGCUUUACUUUUGCUUUCAUUUUACUUUCGCUUUUGCUCUAAUAAAUCUUGCCACCGCACCCUCUUUGGGUCCGCGGGUUUCUCUAAUCUAGCUGUAACACUCGCCACUGCGGCCCACGGCUUCAUUCCUGGAAGCCCGUGAGACCAGGAACCCUUCGAUCGAGAAAAGACCUUCCAUUGGGAGAAGACUUCUCGUCUUAUUUCCACCUAUAAUCUCUUCAAAACAUAGCAGUCAGAGUUACCUGCUGAACUCAUAAGUCACUCAUCUGCUCAAAGCCUCCCAGUGGCUUCUCAUCUCACAGAAUCCAAGUCGACCUUCCUGGAGCCUCUAUCCACUACUUGUUUUGCUCAACAAGAACACACAUCGUGUUGACUCCAUCUUUUAUAUGAUGCCUCACCACAAUGUUCCAUUGGCCAGUGCAAGAGAAACCAGGAUGCUUCCUCAUACUGCACAUCUUUAUCUGAGAACCAAAGGACAAAUAUGGGUGUCACAUGCCAGCUCCUUCUACCUCCUUCUGAAACCAGAGGACUGGAUUGGAACCAACAGAGAUCAUGCUGUUUACUUCACAGAUUUCAAGAAAAGUGAAUUCUGAGUAAUCAUUUUUUUUUAGAUCUUCCUAUGUGUAAAAAUCUUUGGUGAGAUUUACCAUCUCAUUUAAAGUUCUUUCACAAUUUUUGUGAAAAUUGAGUGAUGUGUAAUAAAUAAGUUAUUUUUUUUCUUUAUAGCUGAUGCUUGACCUUUUUUCCCUUGGUAAUAUAGCUUACGAAGCAGAUAUAUAUGCCAAUACACCCUUGAUUUUAAGUCUUUCAAAUAGAAGAACAUAGGGAUAAACUGACACAUGAGAGAUGGAUAAAUGUACGGACACAUACAUGUUCAACAGUUGUUGUUUUGGGGAUUAUGCCACAGAGUCAUCAAAUGCUGUCUAACACUAAAUUAGAUUUUCCUGUGAGGUUGUAAGCAACCUGUUGUGGGAAGUAAUCAAGCAGGGACUAGAUAUCCAUCUAUCAGAAAAAAUGAAUUUCUAGAGAGAUAUGGCAUAGCCUUUCCAAAUUUAAGGUUCCAUGAGUGUAGAGAAAUGAGGAUAAUGACUGUUAAUGGUUAGUGUUUACCUUAGGAAAGCCACCAAUCUAAGUAUUCUAUCUGCACUAACUCAUUUAAUCCAGAAAGAGAUGGCUCCGAAAAGGGAAUUUUAACAAUACUCUGCCUUUCUGCAAAGAAAAUGCCAAGUGAGAAAGUUGUAUUGUUGAUAUACACACAUAUUCACAAAAGACCGCUAUAUAGGGAAUAAGCUUUUGCAAAUAAACACACUAUUGCCUCUAAAUCAGUGAGCAGUAUUUCUAAACCAGGAGAUUUAAUCUUCUGAAAUUUCAUGAAAAAUAUUGUAUUUAUGUGCCCAUUUCUGGAGAAAGGUGACAAUUGCCCUCAUCAGCUUUGCGCUCAAAGGUCAAAAUAAUAAUAAUUAUAAAAAACUUUAAAGCUUACCCAGAAACAGAUGUAUUUCACAAGGUCAAUGUAUUAUAUAUUUCAAAAUAACUAAAGAAUAUGAUUUUAAAUGUUCUCACCACAAAGAAAUGAUAAAUAUUUGAGGUGAUAGACACACUUAUUCGCCUGAUUUGAUCAUUCCACAAUUUAUGAGUGUAUUGAAACAUCAUAUUGUGACCCAAAUAUGUAUAGAAUAAUUGUUUAUCAAUUCAAAAUAAAACUGUUUUUAAAAGUGCUUGGCAUAUAUCCUCAAAUGCUGCAGGAGCUAUGGGUUUUACAUGUUA
rnacentral:lncRNA from 10 species